AUUGAACGCUGGCGGCAUGCCUUACACAUGCAAGUCGAAUGGCAGCGGGCCUUCGGGUGCCGGCGGGUGGCGAACGGGUGAGUAAUGCAUCGGAACGUGCCAUUGAGUGGGGGAUAACGUAGCGAAAGUUGCGCUAAUACCGCAUAUUCUGUGAGCAGGAAAGCAGGGGACCGCAAGGCCUUGCGCUCUUUGAGCGGCCGAUGUCAGAUUAGCUAGUUGGUGAGGUAAAGGCUUACCAAGGCGACGAUCUGUAGCGGGUCUGAGAGGAUGAUCCGCCACACUGGAACUGAGACACGGUCCAGACUCCUACGGGAGGCAGCAGUGGGGAAUUUUACGCAAUGGGCGAAAGCCUGACGUAGCGACACCGCGUGAGCGAAGAAGCCCUGGGUGUAAAGCUCUGUCAGCUGGAACGAAAAAAUGACGGUACCAGCAGAGGAAGCAUCGGCUAACUACGUGCCAGCAGCCGC
rnacentral:rRNA from 1 species